UACAGAGGUCCCAAGCGUUGUUCGGAUUCAUUGGGCGUAAAGGGUGCGUAGGCGGCGCGGUAAGUCGGGUGUGAAAUCUCGGAGCUUAACUCCGAAACUGCAUUCGAUACUGCCGUGCUUGAGGACUGGAGAGGAGACUGGAAUUUACGGUGUAGCGGUGAAAUGCGUAGAUAUCGGGAGGAACACCUGUGGCGAAAGCGGCGCACUGGACCACAUCUGACGCUGAGGCGCGAAAGCUAGGGGAGCAAACAGG
rnacentral:rRNA from 1 species